CCUACGGGAGGCAGCAGUGGGGAAUAUUGGGCAAUGGACGCAAGUCUGAUCCAGCAACGCCGCGUGAAGGAAGAAGGCUUUCGGGUUGUAAACUUCUUUUUAGGGGGGAGAGCAGAAGACGGUACCCCUUGAAUAAGCCACGGCUAACUACGUGCCAGCAGCCGCGGUAAUACGUAGGUGGCAAGCGUUGUCCGGAUUUUCUGGGUGUAAAGGGCGUGCAGCUGGAGAGACAAGUCAGAUGUGAAAUCCGCGCGCUCAACGGGGGAACUGCCGUUGAAACUGGCAAACUGGAGUGUGUGAGAGGAUAGUGGAAUUCCAGGUGUAGGAGUGAAAUCCGUAGAUAUCUGGAGGAACACCAGUGGCGAAGGCGACUAUCUGGCACAUAACUGACGCUGAGGAGCGAAAGCGUGGGUAGCAAACAGGAUUAGAUACCCGAGUAGUC
rnacentral:rRNA from 1 species